rnacentral:lncRNA from 1 species
GGACGUUUUGAUUGCAAGCCUUGUUCGUGCGAGCCUGAUCAUCACGAUCCACAGCUGCAGUGAAAAGAUCGAAAGACAAACGAUAACAUUUAUCAGCCUUAGUUGUUCCUCAAGGGACUGAAAUUAGCGACGCUGACAGUUCAAGUAUUCCCAAGGUUUGUCAAACUUCUAGAACGAGAACAGUCUUUUUCCCGCGAGUAAAUACCUGUUUCCUCGGAGGGUUUCUCUCUAAAACACCUCGAAGACAACAUCGAAGGUAAUUG